rnacentral:misc_RNA from 1 species
GAUGAAGAACGUAGCGAAAUGCGAUACGUAAUGUGAAUUGCAAAUUCAGUGAAUCAUCGAGUCUUUGAACGCACAUUGCGCCCCCUGGUAUUCCGGGGGGCAUGCCUGUCCGAGCGUCAUUGCUGCCCUCAAGCACGGCUUGUGUGUUGGGCCCCGUCCUCCGAUCCCGGGGGACGGGCCCGAAAGGCAGCGGCGGCACCGCGUCCGGUCCUCGAGCAUAUGGGGCUUUGUCACCCGCUCUGUAGGCCCGGCCGGCGCUUGCCGAUCAACCCAAAUUUUUUAUCCAGGUUGACCUCGGAUCAGGUAGGGAUACCCGCUGAACUUAAGCAUAUCAAUAAGCGGAGGA